UACGGGGGGAGCAAGCGUUGUUCGGAUUUACUGGGCGUAAAGGGCGCGUAGGCGGCGCAACAAGUCACUUGUGAAAUCUCCGGGCUUAACUCGGAAGGGUCAAGUGAUACUGUUGUGCUAGAGUGCGGAAGGGGCAACUGGAAUUCUCGGUGUAGCGGUGAAAUGCGUAGAUAUCGAGAGGAACACCUGCGGCGAAGGCGGGUUGCUGGGCCGACACUGACGCUGAUGCGCGAAAGCCAGGGGAGCGAACGGG
rnacentral:rRNA from 1 species